CGCUUCUCAUGUGCCGAACGCGUUAGAAACAAUAGAUGAGGCAGUUCAGCUGAUUAUCUAUUGUUUUUAAUGCGUUCGGCACAUGAGAAGCG